ensembl:lncRNA
GAAUAACUUCUGUUGCCAGCUCAUGUGUGCAGAGUGGCUCUAUGUCAAAGUCCACACUUUCCACACUCUGGGGGAGUAUCUCCCAGGGCAGAACUUAAACAGCAGCUACUAGUAUGGCAGCACGAGGUAUCUGACACUGGUCCUAGAGCUGCAUAUCCAUGAACAUCCUCAGCAUGCACUGGAUGUUCCAAAUUAUCUUCCACCUCUGCCAACACCAGAUGAACUGAAUUGCUCACAGAUUGGAACUGCUGACAUAAACCGUCAAUGUGAAUUCAACCACUGCACUUCAAUCAACUUCAGCAUGAGCCUGAUUAACUCAGAGCAUUGGCGGUCUGCACUAAACAACCCAUCAUCUGGCAGUCACUCACAGUACCUGAAAAGCCCAGCCAGACCUGGACUACUUGGCCUUGAACAGAGUCUUCUGCACAAACAGCAAGGGCAAGCCUACCAUCAGGAGCUUUAAAUGGAAUCAGUUAAGGCAAAACAAGAUGAAAUUUAAAGGCCGUGAAGCAAGGUCACUUACAUCCAGAUUCAGCCAACUACAUUUAAAAUGUGGUUCAACUAAGACUCUACGUUAGCUAAGCACGCAAGUGGCCUCUCCUGAAAGUGAAGAUCCAGGCUAUAGAGUCCAUGGAGAGAAUUAAUGGCAGACCAAAUGCAGGGCUUUGAUUUGAUUGAAGUUUCAGAUCUCCACUAUUUGUAAUGGGAUAUUAUGGACCAAGCUCACCUGCACAAACCCACAUGUAGAAAGUCACAUUUAGACAUCUUAAUCUGAGCUACUGCAAUGGUUGAAGGCUGGCUGUAGACCCAUGUGAGAUUUCUCCACCUAGUGGAUACUCCACUUCAUUAACCAUUUUAUAAAAUAUCUUCACCUUGUCUUUAGCAACUGCUAAGUUAAGCAGCCUCAUUUCUCCACCAUUUCACUAGUCUGUCCAUGCUUUGUAGAGGGAUGAAAUGGAUGAUACACUGAGUCUUCUUCAGAUCUAAGGAGGAACCUUUAUGUGACUUCUGGAAUCCUCACUGUACUGUCUCCAAUUUCUUCCUGUUAAAUGAUUUUUAUUUAUUCAUUUACUAAUUUAUUACUGUGAGUAUAUUUUCCAAGCCAUCAUAGAAGCAGAAUACAACAAAAUAUG